rnacentral:rRNA from 1 species
AAACCCCCUCGCCGAAAGACUAAGGUUUCCUGAUCAACGCUAAUCGGAUCAGGGUCAGUCGGGUCCUAAGGCUCAGCCGAACGGCGAUGCCGAUGGCAGAAACGGUUAAUAUUCCGUUACUACCUUCAGGAGUGACGUGGAGACGCAGUAGUGACAGUGCCGCCAUCUGACGGAAUAGAUGGUUGAAGGGUGUAGGAGUCGAUCAUGGCAGGCAAAUCCACCAUGAGAUCCGAACCUGACAGUAUGCCGCGUCCUUCGGGACAAGGCAAUAGUGCGCGUAAGCAUGCUGCCGAGAAAAUCCGCUAAACUUAAUCCUGCAGGUACCCGUACCGCAAACGGACACACGUAGUCGGGAUGAAUAUUCUAAGGCGCUUGAGUGAUUCACGGUUAAGGAACUAGGCAAACUGACCCUGUAACUUCGGGAUAAAGGGUCCCUACCCUUUUAUGGGAGGGCGCAGAGAAUCGGUCCAGGCAACUGUUUAACAAAAACACAGGGCUGUGCCAAAUCGAAAGAUCCAGUAUACAGCCUGACACCUGCCCGGUGCUGGAAGGUUAAGAGGAGAUGUCAUCGAUAAGAGAAGCGUUGAAUUGAAGCCCCAGUAAACGGCGGCCGUAACUAUAACGGUCCUAAGGUAGCGAAAUUCCUUGUCGGGUAAGUUCCGACCUGCACGAAUGGUGUAAUGAUCUGGACGCUGUCUCAACCGUGAGCUCAGUGAAAUUGUAGUAUCGGUGAAGAUGCCGAUUACCCGCGAUGGGACGAAAAGACCCCGUGAACCUUUACUAUAGCUUAUCAUUGAAUCUGGGCACGUGAUGUGUAGGAUAGGUCGGAGGCUUUGAAGCAGGUACGCCAGUAUUUGUGGAGCCGCUGUUGAAAUACGACCCUUUAUUUGUUUGGAUUCUAACCCGUGGAACGGGGACAUUGAUUGGUGGGUAGUUUGACUGGGGUGGUCGCCUCCAAAAGCGUAACGGAGGCUUCUAAAGGUGCCCUCCGGCCGAUUGGUAACCGGCCUUAGAGUGUAAUGGCAUAAGGGCGCUUGACUGGGAGACUAACAAGUCGAUCAGGUAGGAAACUAGAGCAUAGUGAUCCGGUGUUUCCGUAUGGAAGGGACAUCGCUCAAAGGAUAAAAGGUACUCCGGGGAUAACAGGCUGAUCCCUCCCAAGAGCUCAUAUCGACGGAGUGGUUUGGCACCUCGAUGUCGGCUCGUCACAUCCUGGGGCUGGAGAAGGUCCCAAG